GCGAAAGGCUUGAGGACCAGGUCGGGGCCGGGUUCCGAGUCGGGGAGCGGCUCCGGGCGGCAGCUAUGAGGCGGGACGUGCGCAUCCUGUUACUGGGCGAGGCCCAGGUGGGGAAGACGUCGCUGAUCCUGUCCCUGGUGGGCGAGGAGUUCCCCGAGGAGGUAAGGGGCACGCCCGCCGCGGGGGUGGGAGCGGGCCCAGCCGGGGGUCCCUGGUGAGCGCGCGGGUCCCUUGCAGGUCCCUCCCCGCGCGGAGGAGAUCACGAUCCCCGCGGACGUCACCCCGGAGAAGGUGCCCACCCACAUCGUGGACUACUCAGGUAGCGGCCGUAGCCUCCCGGGGGCCCGGCCCGCAGCGGUCCGGCGGGCCUGCUGGGUCCGCAGUGGAGUCUCUUUGUCCCCCUAGAAGCCGAGCAGACGGACGAGGAGCUGCGGGAGGAGAUCCACAAGGCAAACGUGGUGUGUGUGGUGUAUGACGUCUCUGAGGAGGCCACCAUUGAGAAGAUUCGAACUAAGUGGAUCCCACUGGUGAAUGGGGGGACCACGCGGGGGCCCAGUGGGCAACAAGUCAGACCUGCGGUCGGGGAGCUCCAUGGAGGCCGUGCUCCCCAUCAUGAGCCAGUUUCCCGAGAUUGAGACCUGCGUGGAGUGUUCGGCCAAGAACCUGAGGAACAUCUCAGAGCUGUUCUACUACGCCCAGAAGGCCGUCCUGCAUCCCACAGCCCCCCUCUAUGACCCUGAGGCCAAGCAGUUGAGGCCUGCGUGCGCCCAGGCGCUGACGCGCAUCUUCAGGCUCUCAGAUCAGGACCUGGACCAGGCGCUCAGUGACGAAGAGCUCAACGCUUUCCAGAAAUCCUGCUUUGGGCACCCCCUGGCCCCGCAGGCCCUGGAGGACGUGAAGACGGUGGUGUGCAGGAACGUGGCGGGCGGCGUGCGGGAGGACCGGCUGACCCUGGAUGGUUUCCUCUUCCUGAACACGCUCUUCAUCCAGCGCGGCCGGCACGAGACCACCUGGACCAUCCUGCGGCGCUUCGGCUACAGCGACGCCCUGGAGCUGACUGCGGACUAUCUCUCCCCUCCGCUCCGCGUGCCCCCCGGCUGCAGCACGGAGCUCAACCACCUUGGCUACCAGUUUGUGCAGAGAGUGUUUGAGAAGCACGACCAGGUGAGAGCAUGGCGAGUCCCCUGCCCCUGCCCCCGCCCCCUCCCCGGCACACACAUCACCACAUCCCUCCUUCUGCAGGACCGCGAUGGCGCCCUCUCGCCCGUGGAGCUGCAAAGCCUUUUCAGUGUGUUCCCAGCAGCCCCCUGGGGCCCCGAGCUCCCACGCACAGUCCGCACAGAGGCCGGCCGGUUGCCCCUGCACGGAUACCUCUGCCAGUGGACCCUGGUGACCUACCUGGACGUCCGGAGCUGCCUUGGACACCUAGGCUACCUGGGCUACCCCACCCUCUGUGAGCAGGACUCCCAGGCCCAUGCCAUCACAGGUAGGCACCCACCCUCCCUGGGCCUGGGCCCAGCAUCCUGGCAGCUGCCCUAACCCGUGUCUAUCCUCACAGUCACCCGUGAGAAGAGGCUGGACCAGGAGAAGGGACAGACGCAGCGGAGCGUCCUCCUGUGCAAGGUGGUGGGGGCCCGUGGAGUGGGCAAGUCUGCCUUCCUGCAGGCCUUCCUCGGCCGCGGCCUGGGGCACCAGGACACGAGGGAGCAGCCUCCCGGCUACGCCAUCGACACGGUGCAGGUCAACGGGCAGGAGAAGUACUUGAUCCUCUGUGAGGUGGGCACAGAUGGUCUGCUGGCCACAUCGCUGGACGCCACCUGUGACGUUGCCUGCUUGAUGUUUGAUGGCAGUGACCCAAAGUCCUUUGCACAUUGUGCCAGCGUCUACAAGCACCAUUACAUGGACGGGCAGACCCCCUGCCUCUUUGUCUCCUCCAAGGCCGACCUGCCCGAAGGUGUUGUGGUGUCUGGCCCAUCACCAGCCGAGUUUUGCCGCAAGCACCGGCUACCCGCUCCCGUGCCGUUCUCCUGUGCUGGCCCAGCCAAGCCCAGCACCACCAUCUUCACCCAGCUCGCCACCAUGGCCGCCUUCCCACAUUUGGUCCACGCAGAGCUGCAUCCCUCUUCCUUCUGGCUCCGGGGGCUGCUGGGGGUUGUCGGGGCCGCCGUGGCCGCAGUCCUCAGCUUCUCACUCUACAGGGUCCUAGUGAAGAGCCAGUGAGGCCCCUGGUACCCAAGCCCCCUCCCCUGACCUGGGUGUGGCUCGCUGCUGGGGCUCUGCAGGGGCAGCACAGCUGGGGUGCAGGCCAGGCUGCCACUCUGGGAACGCCUUUGCGCCGGGACUUUUUGUUUCUGAAGGCAGUCAAUCUGCAGCGGGGCCUCAUGCUGCCAUGCACUGCCCUGGCUCCUGCCAGACCCCCAGGGUGGGCCGUGGCAGGUGGCUGAGCAGGAGCUCCCAAGUGCCGGCCACUGCUGUCAGGGAUUGCCCACCUCUGGGCAUCGUGUGUGGGGCCGGGGAGCACAGGUGUGGGAGCUGCUGACCCCAGACCCAGAAUUCUCAGGGCUCUACCCCCCUUUCCUGGUCCUGGGUGGCCAGUGGGUAUGAGGAGGGCUGGAAGGCAGAGCUUUGGGCCAAAAGCAGGCGUUGGGGGGUCCCCCCUCAAGUUUGGAGCCGUUUCCGUGGUUGUAGCAGAGGACCGGAGGUUGGGUUCCUGAUUAAACUUCACUGUGUCUUUUCUAUCUCGGAUCCCAGUCUCUGAAGACAACUUGCUUUGAUUCAACCUAGAA
rnacentral:sRNA from 1 species